GACGGAGAAGGUUAGGCUGGCCGGGCGACGGUUGUCCCGGUUUAAGGAUGUAGGCAGGUGAAUUAGGCAAAUCCGGUUCACUAUAUGCUGAGGUCUGAUGACGAGUCACUACGGUGGCGAAGUAGCUAAUACCCUGCUUCCAGGAAAAGCCUCUAAGCUCUAGAUUAUCAUUAAUCGUACCCCAAACCGACACAGGUGGUCAGGUAGAGAAUACUCAGGCGCUUGAGAGAACUCGGGUGAAGGAACUAGGCAAAA
rnacentral:rRNA from 1 species